CCUACGGGAGGCAGCAGUGAGGAAUAUUGGUCAAUGGACGAGAGUCUGAACCAGCCAAGUAGCGUGAAGGAUGACUGCCCUAUGGGUUGUAAACUUCUUUUAUAAAGGAAUAAAACGAGGCACGUGUGCCUUUUUGCAUGUACUUUAUGAAUAAGGAUCGGCUAACUCCGUGCCAGCAGCCGCGGUAAUGCGGAGGAUACGAGCGUUAUCCGGAUUUAUUGGGUUUAAAGGGAGCGUAGAUGGGUUGUUAAGUCAGUUGUGAAAGUUUUCGGCUCAACCCGAAAAUUGCAUUUGAUACUGGCAGUCGUGAGUACAGUUGAGGUAGGCGGAAUUCGUGGUGUAGCGGUGAAAUGCUUAGAUAUCACGAAGAACCCCGAUUGCGAAGGCAGCUUACUAAACUGUGACUGACAUUGAUGCUCGAAAGUGUGGGUAUCAAACAGGAUUAGAUACCCCUGUAGUC
rnacentral:rRNA from 1 species